rnacentral:lncRNA from 1 species
UAGUCUCUGACACUCAGCUACUUGUAUCCCCAAAGUUCAGCAACUUGUAUCCCCAAGGCUCAGCAGCUUGCAUCCCCAGCCACUUGCACCAGCUGCUUGUGUUGCUCUGCCAGAUGAAGUCUUUUUAUGGGCACCGGAUGGGGGUGGGGAGGGCCAAAAAGGCAAUUAUUUGAGCAGAAAAAUGAGGUCAGCUGCUUUCACUUAGGGCCCAGGUUCCAGGCUUGAGGGUGGAGUUUAGCCAGAAGCCCAGCCAUUCUGUGUCAGGAACAUUCAAUGCUCUCUUUCUAGCUAUUUGAAACUGUGUAAAUUAUUGUUAACUAUAGUUAUCCUACAGUGCUGUAGUAAACCAGAACUAUGCCUCCUAUCUAACUGUAAUUUUAUAACCUUAACCAAUCUCUUCCUAUCUAUCCCUCUUUCUCCUUACCCUUCCCACCUUCUAGUCUCCUCUGUUCUAUUUCUUCUAUGAGAUCAACUAUGUUUUAGCUUCCACAUAUGACUGAGAAUAUGCAGUGUUUAACUUUCUGUUCCUGGCUUGUUUGACUUAACAAUAUGUUAUCCUCCAGUUCCAUCCAUGUUGCUGCAAAUGACAGGAUUUCAUUCCUUUUUAUGGCUGAAUAGUAUUCCAUUGUGUACAUAUGCCACAAUUUCUUUAUCCAUUUAUCUGUUGUUGAACACCUAGGUUCAUUACGUAUCUUGGCUAUUGUGAAAAGGGCUGCAAUAAACAUGGGACUGCAGGUGUCUCUUCAAUACACUGCUUUUCUUUCCUUUGGAUAAAUGGGACUGCUGGAUCGUAUGACAGUUUGAUCUGUAGCUUUUUGAGGACCCUCCAUACUGUUCUCGACAGUGGUUGUGCUAGUUUACAUUCCCGCCAAGAGUAUGUAAGAGUUCCCAUUUCUCCACAUCCUUGCCAGAAUGUUUUUUUUAUCUUCUUGAUAAUAACCAUCCUAACUGGGGUGAGAUGGUACCUCACUGUGGUUUUGAUAUGCAGUUCUCUGAUUAUAUGGUUUGGCUGUGUCCCCACCCAAACCUCAUCUUGAAUUGUAGCUCCCAUAAUUCCUAUGUGUCAUGGGAGGGACCCAGUCGGAGGUAAUUGAAUCACGGGGGUGGAUCUUUCCCAUGCUGUUCUUGUGAUAGUGGAUAACUCUCACGAGAUCUGAUGGUUUUAUAAAUGGGAGUCUCCCUGCACAAAUUCUCUCUUUCCUGCUGCUAUGUAAGAUGUGACCUUGCUCUUCCUUUGCCUUCUGCCAUGAUUGUGAGACCUCCCCAGCCAUAUGGAACUGUGAGUCCAUUAAACCUCUUUUUAUGUGUAAAUUACCCAGUCUCAGCUGGGCGUGGUGGCUCAUGCCUGUAAUCCCAGCACUUUGGGAGGCCGAGGUGGGCAGAUCACCUGAGGUCGGGAGUUCGAGACUAGCCUGACCAACAUGGAGAAACCCCAUCUCUACUAAAAAUACAAAGUUACUCAAGCAUGGUGGGGCAUGCCUGUAAUCCCAGCUACUCAGGAGGCUGAGGCAGGAGAGUCGCUUGAACCCGGGUGGCAGAGGUUGCAGUGAGCUGAGAUCAUGCCACAAUCACCUGAGGUCAGGAGAUUAAGACCAUCCUGGCCAACAUGGCGAAACCCCAUCUCUACUAAAAUUUAAAAAAAAAAAAAA